rnacentral:lncRNA from 1 species
AGUCUUAUGCUACCACUGUGGCUCAUCCUGCGACCUGAGAGAAACCUGGGCAACUGUGAGCACCAGAGGCCAAGUCCUGGACAGUCUUUAGGCCAUGUUGGAACUACAUUUGGAAAGGUGGUUGUUAAACAUUUCCCAGCACACACCUGGAUCUGCAUCUGCUGUGUCAAUUGAACCACUCACUGGUUCUGUGACCUCAGGCAAGUCAUUUAAAUUAUAAGCCUUGGUUUUAUCCUCCACAGAAUACUUCCUCCUAAAAUGUGUUGUGAAAAUUAGAAUAGAUGAAGGCACCCUUGAAAAGAUGACUGAUGCGGUUGGUUGCCCCACCACUUCCUACUACUUGGCAGAGCCUCCUCGUUGGCAGAUCCUUCUCUCACUAGAGCAUGUAUAUGGAUGCAUGCUCUCUCACCCUCCCUUGUAGCUUAGAGCAGAGCAUACCAAUCUAUGUGCCAGCAUACCCUGGUAUGUCUCAGAUGGGUCAUAGAUGUGAUAAGGUAUGGAUCCCUUAAGCCCUUGGGACAUUCAAGUGAGGCUGAGCUGCUGAAGCCCUGGGAUGGUAUGACUGGCCACAAGCAACAUUACCCAGGUACCCCUCUGUGUCACAAAAACGUUAUCUUUGUAUUUGUGUCAUGGUGUGAAAAAAUUGAGAAGCACUGCCUGGGGACAUAGUGAGGUAGCCCAAUUCUGGAUAAAGGAAAUUGAGAAGUCUUGAGGGGGUAGAGAGGUUUUCUUCCCUAAUAAGAAGAAUCACAGGAGAGAAAAUGCCUUCCUCAGCCAUAUGUUGUUAUUUCUAUAUGUGAGCCUGGAAUUUCAAGGUUAUCUUGCAAAGAACCAAGGCAAUGUAGAGAAAAGAAUUGAUAGCAAGUGGCUGGAUCUUUCACAUUGUAAAGCCAUUGAGCCAUCCGUGCAAUUGCCCACCUUGGGAAUUUAUUUUUAAGAGUGAUAAUAAAUGCUCCUCAUUGUUUAAACUACUUUGAUUUUUGUAUUUGGUUAUUCAUAAUUAAAAACACCCAAAUACAGUAGAAGAACUGGUACAUCCCUGACACCUAAUGAGUGCUCAAUAUGGUUAGUUAAUCACCAAAUUAGAUCCUUUGCCUUUAGAAAAGCUGCCAUGGUCAAAUGUGUGUUGAUCUUAUUUUUCGUAAAUAUUUAAGAAAUUUGUUCAGUAACUAGCUUAACUUUUAAUAUUUAUCUUGAGUCUCUUCUAAAUAUGUUUUUACUGUAUAAUAAAAGCAAUAAUUGAAAAAUGACAUCAUUUUAAGCUUGAGAGCAACUAGAUACAAAGAUGUUGAUAUGCAUUUUCUCUUCUUGAAGGAUCUAGACAAACUGGAGCACCAUUACAUGAAAAAGGUUAAAGAAUCAAUGUUUUGCAAAAUAGAACUGGAAUUAAUUCAUGGGAAUUACAGAGAAGAUCAUAUUAGUUCAAUAUAAAAAGAGGGCCUAGAAUGUGCCAAGCUCCAUACAAUGCCCCUCAUGAGUGUUAUUUAAUUCUCACAACAACUUUGCAAAAAAGAAACUAUUUUUUUUUCCAUUUUACAAAGGAGGAAGCUAAGGCUGUGAAAAAGAGCUCUUUUGCAAGCCUAGGACCUGAUUCCAAAAUUCCCACUCUUUCUGUUGCAAAUUCUGGCUAAGCUUUCCAGAGAUGACUUGCUUUCCCCUUGAGGCCCUUUCAGUGCAUUGUGCCAUGGAAAACAAAAAGCCCAACAAUGACAUCUUUACCAAAGAUGCCUUGGGGAGAUGGGAGAAGAGUUACAAUGCACAUUACACAGCAAAAUCUUUUUUAAGCUCCAAGUAAAAUUGGUUUUUUCUUAGAGUUUUGCUUCCAGCAGUCACUUCCUCCAUUCUCCUGCUCUCUCCACGUGAGGAAAACUUCUAUCCUGCCUUCUCCUAAUACACUUUCCUGUUUUUUUUUUCCUGCACAUUUCUUAAAAAUCCCACAUAAGGCAAAAGCCAAGACAAUAUCCAUCAACACCUCCACCCCCACCGCAUGUCCAUGGAGAGCUUCAAGUCAUCCUGCCGCUGGUACAAACACGGCAGAGGCCUCUUUGUAAAGAAGUGGUAGGUAGAAUUCAGGUUAGCACCAGAAUCUGAAAACUCCAGCUCCUUUGACUGGGACCAGGCUGGUAAUAUAAAUGUUAGAUCAGGCUGGGUCUGACACAAUGGGGAUCAGUAGAGCAUACUUGUCACAUUUGAAGGCAUUCAGAAAAAUAAUAACCUUAAAACAUUCUAAACAUGUUGCAAUCAAAGAGGAUACCCCUUGACCACUGCACGAAUUGGAGUUCAAAGAUCAUCUCUCUUUUGCCUAGGCUGUAGACUAGUUAUUUAACCUCUCUCAGACUUGGUUUCCUCUUCUGGAACAGGGUAUAUCAACUACCUUGCAGAAAUAAAUGACAUCCUGUACACAAUGCACCUACCACGUUGCCUGACCCAAUAAUGUGUACAUACAUAAGAAAAUGUUCAUGCCCUUUGCUCACUUUAAAAUUUUUUUUUCUUGUAUAUUUGUUUAAGUUCUUCGUAGACUCUGGAAUGGAGCUGGAAGCUGUCAUCCUCAGCACACUAACGCAGGAACAGAAAACCAAGCACUGCAUGUUCCCACUUAUAAGUGAGAGCUGAACGAGCAGAACACAUGGACAUAUGAAGGGGAACAACACACUCUGGGGCCUGUGAGGUGCAGGGAGAGCAUCAAGAAGAACAGCUAAUGGGUGCUGGGCUUAAUACCUGGGUGAUGGGUUGAUCUGUGCGGCAAACCACCAUGGCACACAUUUACCUAUGUAACAAACCUUGACAUCCUGCACAUGUACCCCGGAACUUAAAAAUAAAAGUUGACAAAAAGAAAACAUAA